CACGUCCCACAUUGUUGUGGCCGAUCUGACAGAACCUGCGAGACAAGGUAUAACGAAGGGUAGUGCAGUAACUAAACACCACCAGGCAAAGUUCCAGAAUGGCUGCAUCCCGCUUAGAUGUGGACGAGGAAAUUCUAAUUGGUGCCGUCCAGCAAAGGUCAUGCAUAUGGGACAGCAGGGAUGUUGCUUAUGCAGAUUGUAGCCAAAAAAAAAACAAGCUUGGGACGAAGUUGUUACUGCUUUGUUACCAGAAUGGCCCUUACUUGUCAUCCAGCCAACAAAUUAUUAAAAGGAAGGCAGUGCAAGACCAUUGACAAUCUCUAAAGGACUGCUACACCCGGGAGUUGCGCCAAAUAAGAGACGUUGGAAGAAGCUAAAGUUCACCAUCUAAGCGCAAACAAUACAUUUUGAUCAACUUGAUUUUUUGCGACCAGUACUGGAAACAAGAAGUACCAGCGGGAAUCUGCAAAGAUCCAGUGGUCCAGAACCUGACCAUGACAGCUCAGAUGCACCACCAGAGUCAACAGCUAAGGCAACAACUGAAAUAUCCACUGAGGCCCCUUCUGCUAUUUCUCUUUGAGGACGAAGGAGACGACCCAAUGAGGCCAACAUUCCACUAUCAGGCCAGUUAAGCUCACUUCUGGAUGAGCGCAGGGGACUAAUGGAUGAUCCCAACUACCAUUUCUCAAUAUUUACCUUUACUGUC